UGCCAAUUCUGGAUGGAGGAGGAGAA
rnacentral:piRNA from 1 species